UCCAAACCUCUCCAUACUCCCUACAUGAGUGCACUAUAUAGGAGUUUAAAAUAAUUGCUCCUGUAGCCUAUUUAGGGCACUACUAAUUCCAUUAUAAUACAUUUGGAAUUCAGCAUAGGGACUUUUGGAAAGUGAAGAGAUUCGUUUGUAAACUGAUAUUAGCAGUUAUGUAACCUACAAGGUUUGUUUAUAAAAAACAAAAAAGGCAUCGACCAAAAUCACAUUUCUGGUUAAAUUAUAGAUGCUGCUUAAUUUUUAGUUAGAAGAUAAAGCAGUGUGAAUGUCACUAUGAAGAGAGGCCUCACGAUUCGAGCUGGACAUUUACAAGAAGCUCAACACACGCAGGACUUCUGCUUAAAGAGAGUCGUGUGAGAGGUGUGCUGGGGUGCCAAUACUUUUGGAGGCGAGCGGAUACGAGCGUGUGACGUCACCCGAAUACCUGUGACGCAGUACCCCACAUUGUGCUGAGUGUUUUGAUAUGUCCCAUGUUGUAGUCAUUUUUUAGUUUGGGGCAGGGCUGCACGUGACGCCAUUCGCAUACCCGUGACACAAUAACUCCGGAUACUCGUGGUGUAGAUAGAUCGAGUUAUAAACCUUUAAAGUUUAAAAUGGGUGUCUAUGGCAAAAAAAGACCAUUUUUAAACCCGGUACCGUGAGAACUGGAACUUGGAAUGCUUAGAAAAGUAAUAGCAACCUGUCUGAUUUUGGUGCAUGUGGCUUGAAAGCCCUAGGAGGAGUUACGAGGAGUUACAUGCCUGGGCACGAAUCUCUCUACAGUACUUUCUUUCUUUUUGUUUACUUUGUGUGUUUGGUCACCCUACUGUAUUAUCUUGUCUUGAUAGUAAAGUGUUAAUUAUGUCUGUACUUUUGAGAGUCACAAACUCAAAUUCCUUGUGUGUCAACACACUUGUCCAAUAAACCUGAUUGUGAUUCUGAUA